rnacentral:rRNA from 1 species
UACGGGGGGGGCGAGCGUUGUUCGGAAUUACUGGGCGUAAAGGGUUUGUAGGUGGUCUGCUAAGUCAGACGUGAAAUCCCUCAGCUUAACUGGGGAACUGCGUCUGAUACUGGCGGACUUGAGGACAGGAGAGGAACGCGGAAUUCCAGGUGUAGCGGUGAAAUGCGUAGAUAUCUGGAGGAACACCGAUUGCGAAGGCAGCUCGCUGGAACGUUACUGACGCUGAGACGCGAAAGCGUGGGGAGCAAACGGG